rnacentral:rRNA from 1 species
UACGAAGGGGGCUAGCGUUGCUCGGAAUCACUGGGCGUAAAGCGCACGUAGGCGGCUUCUUAAGUCAGGGGUGAAAUCCUGGAGCUCAACUCCAGAACUGCCCUUGAUACUGAGAGGCUCGAGUCCGGGAGAGGUGAGUGGAACUCCGAGUGUAGAGGUGAAAUUCGUAGAUAUUCGGAAGAACACCAGUGGCGAAGGCGACUUACUGGACACAUAUUGACGCUGAGGUGCGAAAGCGUAGGGAGCAAACAGG